UUUAACAGGCUUAGUCUUUAUAAUUUUUACUUCCCUGAAAGUUUUGCACAUGCACAUCACAAGCUUAGUUGACCACACACCCUAAUCACCACUCCCCUCUCAUAAUUGCCCCCUCAAAAAUUAAAUCCUAGAUCCGCCCCAUGAUCAUGAUUAUAGUAAGGAAAUAUGCACUUGUGUGGACAUGUAUAUUUCUUCUUAUUUUGUGUGUAUCCUAUGCUUGCUAACCUAUGCCAUUGUUGCAUAAACAGCUCUAAUGUAAAUCUGCAUGCUGUAUAAGCUUAACCACGAAAAGGUGUGCUAUUAUAGUGAAUAUAGCACACGUAAAAAAUUUGGGACAAAAUUCCAUGUUAAUUUGACACAUGUUUUUUUGUGUGUAUAUUAAUGCUUGAGACUAUCAUGUGAUCUUUAUUAAUGCAGGGGGUGGAGCCAGUCCUCAGGCCUAAUUGUUUCCCAUUGUUUUCUCAGCUGGAUACAGAGCAGCUGGUGACAUUGAAAGGGAAAACUGUCAUUGAUUAUACUCACUGAGUGUUAAACUAUUGUCAUUAGUUUUUGAAUUAGCUCGUAACUCAACCACUUACAUGUACCAGCUGGUACACAUAAGCUCAUUAUAUCUCAUAUACUGGGGAGUGGUUUAAUGGGCAGGAUUGUAUUAUCAUCAAAAUUAGGUGACAUGUCGUGCUAUGUUGCUAGAGUUUUUAAAGAGGCUGAAGGUCGUGUGAUCAGUGACUCCGCCCUAUUGUACCCCCACUAUAAUAACGGAUUGGUAAUAGUGUAUUAUGAUAAGAAUGGGAAUGGAAUAACAAGGAAUGAAGAACAGGAACCAAAAAGUACCAAUUUAAUUGUCAUUUAUAAGGUUUCUGAGAGAUACUAUUUAUUAGCCGAUUUGUCAUGUCGGAACUGGUUGAUCCUGCCCACUAAUGAGGACAAACCAGUUUAUCUGGUUUCUGAUAGUUCACUAUCAGUGUCAGCUUUCCUUAUAUCACAGGAGGAUUUUUAGAAAAAGAUCAUCUUCUAGUGUAUAGCACUGAGUGAACUCAUAAAGUUUCAAAAUUAACGGACCAGUUAACUACCAGUAUGCAGCUGUUGAUAUGGGAGAUUAUGGUUAAACCUUACAUGAAGAAAAUUCCUACAUGUAUUUCUUACAUGAUGUGCGGUCAGUCCUGAUGAGGUGUCAUCUCUAUAAGCCUUACAUGUGAGUUGUUACUAAUAAUAUAGUACAUGUAAAACUGAUUAUUGACAUCUCAAUAUGAUAACGUGUGGUUUAGUAGCGUAAGACACUUAUGAUGCACAAAAUAACAAUAGCAGUGCUAGUAAACAUG